rnacentral:rRNA from 1 species
AAUAGAAGCGACCACGCGCGAGCAAGCGGACCACCAAAAUGCUGUCGAAGUCCGGAUUGGAGUCUGCAACUCGACUCCAUGAAGUCGGAAGCGCUAGUAAUCGUAGAUCAGAAUGCAACGGUGAAUACGUUCCCGGGCCUUGUACACACCGCCCGUCACACCAUGGGAGUGGGUUGCAAAAGAAGUAGGUAGAUUAACCUUCGGGAGGGCGCUUACCACUUUUUGAUUCAUGACUGGGGUGAAGUCGUAACAAGGUCACGGUUGUGGAGACGGCGGUUGGUUGACCU